GACGAACGCUGGCGGCGUGCUUAACACAUGCAAGUCGAACGGAAAGGCCCCCAUCUUGGUGGGGGUGCUCGAGUGGCGAACGGGUGAGUAACACGUGGGUGAUCUGCCCUGUACUUCGGGAUAAGCUUGGGAAACUGGGUCUAAUACCGGAUAGGACCAUGGUUUAGUGUCUCAUGGUGGAAAGAUUAGUGUUUUGGUGCAGGAUGAGCUCGCGGCCUAUCAGCUUGUUGGUGGGGUAAUGGCCUACCAAGGCGUCGACGGGUAGCCGGCCUGAGAGGGGGGCCGGCCCCAUUGGGACUGAGAUACGGCCCAGCCUCCUACGGGAGGCAGCAGUGGGGAAUCUUGCACAAUGGGCGCAAGCCUGAUGCAGCGCCGCCGAGUGGGGGAUGACGGCCUUCGGGUUGUAAACUCCUUUCGUUAGGGACGAAGCCGCACUUUUUUUGGGUGUGGUGACGGUACCUUUGUUAAGAAGCACCGGCUAACUACGUG
rnacentral:rRNA from 1 species